AUUGAACGCUGGCGGCAGGCCUAACACAUGCAAGUCGAGCGGAGCGGCGGACGGGUGAGUAAUGCCUGGGAAUCUGCCUGGUAGUGGGGGAUAACGUCCGGAAACGGGCGCUAAUACCGCAUACUAUCAGAUGAGCCUAGGUCGGAUUAGCUAGUUGGUGGGGUAAAGGCCUACCAAGGCGAUGAUCCGUAACUGGUCUGAGAUGAUGAUAAGUAACACUGGAACUGAGACACGGUCCAGACGCCUACGUGAGGCAGCAGGGGGGAAUAUUGCACAAUUGGCGCAAGCCUGAUGCAGCCAUGCCGCGUGUAUGAAGAAGGCCUUCGGGUUGUAAAGUACUUUCAGCGAGGAGGCGUUACUCGCAGAAGAAGCACCGGCUAACUCCGUGCCAGCCGCCGCGGUAAUUC
rnacentral:rRNA from 1 species